rnacentral:misc_RNA from 1 species
GGAAGUAAAGUCGUAACAAGGUCUCCGUAGGUGAACCUGCGGAGGGAUCAUUACAGAGUUCUCGCCCUCACGGGUAGAUCUCCCACCCACUGUUAUCGUUACUGUCGUUUCUUUGGCGGGCCGCCGGGUCCCCGGCCGCCGGCGCCUAGCUGCCGGCGCGCGCCCGCCAGAGGCCUUCAAACUCUGAAUGUUAGUGUCGUCUGAGUACUAUAUAAUAGUUAAAACUUUCAACAACGGAUCUCUUGGUUCUG